UUAAGCGACUAAGCGUACACGGUGGAUGCCCUGGCAGUCAGAGGCGAUGAAGGACGUGCUAAUCUGCGAUAAGCGUCGGUGAGGUGAUAUGAACCGUUAUAACCGGCGAUUUCCGAAUGGGGAAACCCAGUGUGUUUCGACACACUAUCAUUAACUGAAUCCAUAGGUUAAUGAGGCGAACCGGGGGAACUGAAACAUCUAAGUACCCCGAGGAAAAGAAAUCAACCGAGAUUCCCCCAGUAGCGGCGAGCGAACGGGGAGGAGCCCAGAGCCUGAAUCAGUGUGUGUGUUAGUGGAAGCGUCUGGAAAGGCGCGCGAUACAGGGUGACAGCCCCGUACACAAAAAUGCACAUAUUGUGAGCUCGAUGAGUAGGGCGGGACACGUGGUAUCCUGUCUGAAUAUGGGGGGACCAUCCUCCAAGGCUAAAUACUCCUGACUGACCGAUAGUGAACCAGUACCGUGAGGGAAAGGCGAAAAGAACCCCGGCGAGGGGAGUGAAAAAGAACCUGAAACCGUGUACGUACAAGCAGUGGGAGCCUCUUAAUGGGGUGACUGCGUACCUUUUGUAUAAUGGGUCAGCGACUUAUAUUCUGUAGCAAGGUUAACCGAAUAGGGGAGCCGAAGGGAAACCGAGUCUUAACUGGGCGUUAAGUUGCAGGGUAUAGACCCGAAACCCGGUGAUCUAGCCAUGGGCAGGUUGAAGGUUGGGUAACACUAACUGGAGGACCGAACCGACUAAUGUUGAAAAAUUAGCGGAUGACUUGUGGCUGGGGGUGAAAGGCCAAUCAAACCGGGAGAUAGCUGGUUCUCCCCGAAAGCUAUUUAGGUAGCGCCUCGUGAAUUCAUCUCCGGGGGUAGAGCACUGUUUCGGCAAGGGGGUCAUCCCGACUUACCAACCCGAUGCAAACUGCGAAUACCGGAGAAUGUUAUCACGGGAGACACACGGCGGGUGCUAACGUCCGUCGUGAAGAGGGAAACAACCCAGACCGCCAGCUAAGGUCCCAAAGUCAUGGUUAAGUGGGAAACGAUGUGGGAAGGCCCAGACAGCCAGGAUGUUGGCUUAGAAGCAGCCAUCAUUUAAAGAAAGCGUAAUAGCUCACUGGUCGAGUCGGCCUGCGCGGAAGAUGUAACGGGGCUAAACCAUGCACCGAAGCUGCGGCAGCGACGCUUAUGCGUUGUUGGGUAGGGGAGCGUUCUGUAAGCCUGUGAAGGUGGCCUGUGAGGGUUGCUGGAGGUAUCAGAAGUGCGAAUGCUGACAUAAGUAACGAUAAAGCGGGUGAAAAGCCCGCUCGCCGGAAGACCAAGGGUUCCUGUCCAACGUUAAUCGGGGCAGGGUGAGUCGACCCCUAAGGCGAGGCCGAAAGGCGUAGUCGAUGGGAAACAGGUUAAUAUUCCUGUACUUGGUGUUACUGCGAAGGGGGGACGGAGAAGGCUAUGUUGGCCGGGCGACGGUUGUCCCGGUUUAAGCGUGUAGGCUGGUUUUCCAGGCAAAUCCGGAAAACCAAGGCUGAGGCGUGAUGACGAGGCACUACGGUGCUGAAGUGACAAAUGCCCUGCUUCCAGGAAAAGCCUCUAAGCAUCAGGUAACAUCAAAUCGUACCCCAAACCGACACAGGUGGUCAGGUAGAGAAUACCAAGGCGCUUGAGAGAACUCGGGUGAAGGAACUAGGCAAAAUGGUGCCGUAACUUCGGGAGAAGGCACGCUGAUAUGUAGGUGAAGCGACUUGCUCGUGGAGCUGAAAUCAGUCGAAGAUACCAGCUGGCUGCAACUGUUUAUUAAAAACACAGCACUGUGCAAACACGAAAGUGGACGUAUACGGUGUGACGCCUGCCCGGUGCCGGAAGGUUAAUUGAUGGGGUUAGCGGUAACGCGAAGCUCUUGAUCGAAGCCCCGGUAAACGGCGGCCGUAACUAUAACGGUCCUAAGGUAGCGAAAUUCCUUGUCGGGUAAGUUCCGACCUGCACGAAUGGCGUAAUGAUGGCCAGGCUGUCUCCACCCGAGACUCAGUGAAAUUGAACUCGCUGUGAAGAUGCAGUGUACCCGCGGCAAGACGGAAAGACCCCGUGAACCUUUACUAUAGCUUGACACUGAACAUUGAGCCUUGAUGUGUAGGAUAGGUGGGAGGCUUUGAAGUGUGGACGCCAGUCUGCAUGGAGCCGACCUUGAAAUACCACCCUUUAAUGUUUGAUGUUCUAACGUUGGCCCCUGAUCGGGGUUGCGGACAGUGUCUGGUGGGUAGUUUGACUGGGGCGGUCUCCUCCUAAAGAGUAACGGAGGAGCACGAAGGUUGGCUAAUCCUGGUCGGACAUCAGGAGGUUAGUGCAAUGGCAUAAGCCAGCUUGACUGCGAGCGUGACGGCGCGAGCAGGUGCGAAAGCAGGUCAUAGUGAUCCGGUGGUUCUGAAUGGAAGGGCCAUCGCUCAACGGAUAAAAGGUACUCCGGGGAUAACAGGCUGAUACCGCCCAAGAGUUCAUAUCGACGGCGGUGUUUGGCACCUCGAUGUCGGCUCAUCACAUCCUGGGGCUGAAGUAGGUCCCAAGGGUAUGGCUGUUCGCCAUUUAAAGUGGUACGCGAGCUGGGUUUAGAACGUCGUGAGACAGUUCGGUCCCUAUCUGCCGUGGGCGCUGGAGAACUGAGGGGGGCUGCUCCUAGUACGAGAGGACCGGAGUGGACGCAUCACUGGUGUUCGGGUUGUCAUGCCAAUGGCACUGCCCGGUAGCUAAAUGCGGAAGAGAUAAGUGCUGAAAGCAUCUAAGCACGAAACUUGCCCCGAGAUGAGUUCUCCCUGAGACUUAGAGUCUCCUGAAGGAACGUUGAAGACGACGACGUUGAUAGGCCGGGUGUGUAAGCGCAGCGAUGCGUUGAGCUAACCGGUACUAAUGAACCGUGAGGCUUAACCUU
rnacentral:rRNA from 1 species